GACAAUAUUCACAACACCAUGUUAAAUGUAGUAUCCCAGAAUUAGAUUUUCUUUUGAAAAAUGAUAAGUAUUAAUUUUUUCAACAUUUAUUAUGAACACAUUAAAUAUGUGAAAAUGCACAUUUGAUAGACAGUACAUGAAAGUAUUUAUCACCAAUAAGCCCUUGUAUUUUUUGCCUACAACUAAGCCUCCUUCAUUUUUUCCAAAAUCAUAAUUUUUUUGAAUACUAAAGUUAUGAAUGAAAAAUAAAAUGGUUCACAAAUAAGACUCACUGCAUACUCUAUACUACAAGGGCAGGGGGCUUAUAUUAGGAUGAAUAGAAUACAUUGUAUAUAUGCAAUGGAAAAAAGACGUCAAGUAGUCAAGGUGAAAAUAGAUGAUCAAAUAGCCUACAGGUUAUCAAAUAGGGUUAUCAAGAUUUCCAAAUAGGGUUAUCAAGAUUUCCAAAUAGGGUUAUCAAGGUUAUCAAAUACGGUUAUCAAGGUUACCAAAUAGGGUUAUCAAAUAGGGUUAUCAAGGUUAUCAAAUACGGUUAUCAAGGUUACCAAAUACGGUUAUCAAGGUUAUCAAAUAAGGUUAUCAAGGUUAUCAAAUAUGGUUAUCAAGGUUAUCAGAUAGGGUUAUCAAGGUUAUCAAACACGGUUAUCAAGGUUACCAAAUAGGGUUAUCAAGGUUAUCAAAUAAGGUUAUCAAGGUUAUCAAAUACGGUUAUCAAGGUUAUCAAAUACGGUUAUCAAGGUUAUCAAAUACGGUUAUCAAGGUAUCAAAUACGGUUAUCAAGGUUAUCAAAUAACUAUGAGCGUUUUGUCCUCUUUUGUGACCUGAAGUUAAAACGUUCCCAACCAUUCAAUACACUGCUCCAAUAAGGACAAGUAAUUUAAAAUUUAUGAAAUUGUUUCUGUGAAGUAUACUCGCAUACAGUUUGGAACUUCAAAGAACUCUUCAAGGAAGAGUCUGCCUACAAAAAGUUAUCAGGUUUCAAAAAACCUUUAGAUUCAGUAUUGAAAGUAGUGACCUCUAUAUAUAUACACACAUAUUUUUAGACAUACAGUUCAAGGGACAUAUAAUAUCUGACUCAGUUAUUAUAAUAUCGUGAUUAUUUUAAUAUUUUUCUCUGCCAAUUAAAAAUUGGAAAGUAGAAUAUUAUGAUAUGCGUGAUCCACUUCAUUUAGAUGUAUGGUAUAUAUGAAUCUCCUUGUUAUUAUUUUGUCUUCGAUAUAUUCAAAAGAAUUCUAAUACAUAUUUCCUGCUGUGAUGAUCUCAAGUUUUAUUCUUUGAAAUAAAAUUUUUAGUAUUGAAUGCUGUAUUUAUAUGAUUCCCUGGUUAACAUUCCGUGUUGUUUUAUUUUAACUGCUGGGUAUUAAUUAUAACAAUAAAUGGCGUUAUUUGAUUAUAACAAUAAAUGGUGUUAUUUUAUA